rnacentral:rRNA from 1 species
AGUCGAACGCUCACUUCGGUGAGAGUGGCAGACGGGUGAGUAACGCGUGGGAACGUACCUUUCAGUUCGGAAUAUUCUCGGGAAACUGGGAGCAAUACCGUAUACGCCCUUCGGGGGAAAGAUUUAUCGGAGAAGGAUCGGCCCGCGUUGGAUUAGGUAGUUGGUGGGGUAAUGGCCUACCAAGCCGACGAUCCAUAGCUGGUUUGAGAGGAUGAUCAGCCACACUGGGACUGAGACACGGCCCAGACUCC